GGCUCCGGGCGCCCUGGCUUCCGCGCCCACUGGUUGCUCGCUCCGGGGCAGGGCUCGCGAUAGCGAGCGGGAGCAGGGCGCGGGGCGGCACCGGGUCCGAAGCGAGGAAGCCGGAAGCCAGGCGCGGAGAGCCUCCCCCUUCGACUGCGGCCUCGCUUGGCGCCUUCUGCGCGCUUGGGAUCCCGGAGCCUACCUAGGUUCUGCGUGCUCCCGCCCAGGCCGGUGCCCGCUGCCCGCCUGCGCCCCAGGCGGGUCUCAGGCCCCGGCUGCUCCCGGCCGAAGGUGGGGACGGGCAGUGGCAGGCACCGCUAGCGAGGGCGUUUGGGGACCCAGGGUGACCACAGCGCAGCCAUGGGGACCGCGCUUGUGUACCAUGAGGACAUGACGGCCACCCGGCUGCUCUGGGACGAGUAAGUGGGACCUGGCCGAGGUGGGGUGCGGGGAGGGACCUCUGGACUGAACUCCUCAUCUGCCCCAGCCCCGAGUGCGAGAUUGAGCGUCCUGAGCGCCUGACCGCAGCCCUGGACCGCCUGCGGCAGCGCGGCCUGGAACAGAGGUGUCUGCUGUUGUCAGCCCGCGAGGCCUCGGAAGAGGAGCUGGGCCUGGUGCACAGAGUACCUUUCACUGUGCGCGGCUGGCCGCAGGGGCUGGACUGCAGCUGGUGGACGCUGUGCUCACGGGAGCUGUGCAAAAUGGGCUUGCCCUGGUGAGGCCCCCAGGGCACCACAGCCAGAGGGCGGCUGCCAACGGGUUCUGUGUGUUCAACAACGUGGCCAUAGCAGCUGCACAUGCCAAGCAGAAACACGGG
rnacentral:sRNA from 1 species